GUGAAUCAUCGAAUUUUUGAACGCAAAUUGCACUCUCCGGUUUUCCGGGGGAGUAGGCCUGUUUGAGGGUCAGCCUACAAACAAUCUCCAUUUUUGCUGUUAUUUAAUGGUGACUUUCGUCGGAGAUUGCGUUAUCUUAACCCUUUUUUUUUUUUUUGGUUUAUAAGAAUUAAAAUUUUUAUUCAUGAUUCUCUUGACCUU
rnacentral:misc_RNA from 1 species